UACGUAGGUGGCGAGCGUUGUCCGGAUUUACUGGGCGUAAAGAGCGCGCAGGCGGUCGUUCAAGUCGAGUGUGAAAGCCCCCGGCUCAACUGGGGAGGGUCACUCGAUACUGAUCGACUCGAAGGCAGGAGAGGGAAGCGGAAUUCCCGGUGUAGUGGUGAAAUGCGUAGAUAUCGGGAGGAACACCAGUGCGAAGGCGGCUUUCUGGCCUGCUCUUGACGCUGAGGCGCGAAAGCUAGGGUAGCAAACGGG
rnacentral:rRNA from 1 species